GGUCCUACAUAAUGAAACACGAUUGUUUUAUUCAACAUUUCAACUCAGCUGCAUCCAAAAUGGUCAGAGAACAAUAAAUACCAAGUUGCUAUUGCUUCAUCAGAUAACCCUUAACAUUAUAUAUACUGGUAUAUUUUCAAGUGCAAAGAAUUAUGUCGCUAAAAAAAUCAAAAGAAGAAAAAAGAACUAACCAAAAAAGAAACUUUCUCGCUCACAUCAAUACACUGAACCAUUCAUGGACACUGAAUAAGAACUUCGCUCAAAUAGCAGACUCCAUCCCACUAAGAAAAAAGAACGAAAAGGAAAUGAUUAAAGCUUUUUCUGCUUUCCCUCUCCCUCUGUUUGCUCCCAAUCCCAAAAUAUGCUGCAGGAUAUUCACAAGAAAACCAAAACGGAAUAGCAAUAUCUAAAAUAUUUCUCAUAUGCUGUUUCCUCCCAUGGCAAUAGCUGGAGAUAUGACCACCACCCUAAACAUCUUCUUGUUGCUCCUUUCACCAAGGCUUUCAUGCUCUGGCUUCAUGCUGCUCUAAAGGUUUUUGAUAAACGAUGAUAGUAUUCAAUUUGCUGCAUCCACAAAGAAAAUAGCAGUAUAAUAGGAGACAAUGAUUGGAUUUAGCACAAGAUGGCAAAUGCCUUAACACUAAAUGACACCAGGAAACUAAAUCAGUUGUACCUUGUCGGAGACAGAUGGAGAAAUUUUCUCCAAAGCCCGUUUGAAAUGUGACU
rnacentral:lncRNA from 1 species